rnacentral:RNase_P_RNA from 12 species
GUAUGAAAAGACAGAGUGAAAAAAAAUGCUUAUGAAGUGGAAAAAAUUACAAUCUCAAUUAUCCUAAUAUGAUGCCCUUUUUUCUUUCUUUUUUUUCUCUUUCUUUACUUUUUUUCCGGGGCUUUUAUUUUUCU